UACGUAGGGGGCUAGCGUUGUCCGGAAUCAUUGGGCGUAAAGCGCGUGUAGGCGGUCCGGUAAGUCCGCUGUGAAAGUCGGGGGCUCAACCCUCGGAUGCCGGUGGAUACUGUCGGGCUUGAGUACGGAAGAGGCGAGUGGAAUUCCUGGUGUAGCGGUGAAAUGCGCAGAUAUCAGGAGGAACACCAAUAGCGAAGGCAGCUUGCUGGGACGUUACUGACGCUGAGGAACGAAAGCCAGGGUAGCGAACGGG
rnacentral:rRNA from 1 species